CCCUUAGAUGUUCUGGGCCGCACGCGCGCUACACUGAUGCAUUCAACAAGCCUAGCCUUGACCGAGAGGUCUGGGUAAUCUUUGAAACUGCAUCGUGAUGGGGCUAGAUUAUUGCAAUUAUUAAUCUUCAACGAGGAAUGCCUAGUAAGCGUGAUUCAUCAAAUCGCGUUGAUUACGUCCCUGCCCUUUGUACACACCGCCCGUCGCUCCUACCGAUUGAAUGUGUUGGUGAGGAGCUCGGAUUGGCAGCAGUUGGUGGUUCGCCACCGGCUAUUGCUGAGAAGUCCUCCAAACCGCCCCAUUUAGAGGAAGGAGAAGUCGUAACA
rnacentral:rRNA from 1 species